rnacentral:rRNA from 1 species
UACGUAGGGUGCGAGCGUUGUCCGGAAUUACUGGGCGUAAAGAGCUCGUAGGUGGUUUGUCGCGUUGUUCGUGAAAACUCACAGCUUAACUGUGGGCGUGCGGGCGAUACGGGCAGACUGGAGUACUGCAGGGGAGACUGGAAUUCCUGGUGUAGCGGUGAAAUGCGCAGAUAUCAGGAGGAACACCGGUGGCGAAGGCGGGUCUCUGGGCCACUACUGACGCUGAGAAGCGAAAGCAUGGGGAGCGAACAGG